AUUGAACGCUGGCGGCAGGCCUAACACAUGCAAGUCGAGCGGUAGAGAGGAGCUUGCUUCUCUUGAGAGCGGCGGACGGGUGAGUAAUGCCUAGGAAUCUGCCUGGUAGUGGGGGAUAACGUUCGGAAACGGACGCUAAUACCGCAUACGUCCUACGGGAGAAAGUGGGGGAUCUUCGGACCUCACGCUAUAAGAUGAGCCUAGGGCGGAUUAGCUAGUUGGUGAGGUAAAGGCUCACCAAGGCGACGAUCCGUAACUGGUCUGAGAGGAUGAUCAGUCACACUGGAACUGAGACACGGUCCAGACUCCUACGGGAGGCAGCAGUGGGGAAUAUUGGACAAUGGGCGCAAGCCUGAUCCAGCCAUGCCGCGUGUGUGAAGAAGGUCUUCAGAUUGUAAAGCACUUUAAGUUGGGAGGAAGGUCAGUAGCUUAAUACGUUGCUGAUUUGACGUUACCGACAGAAUAAGCACCGGCUAACUCUGUGCCAGCCGCCGCUGUAAGAC
rnacentral:rRNA from 1 species